AUUGAACGCUAGCGGGAUGCCUUACACAUGCAAGUCGAACGGCAGCACGGACUUCGGUCUGGUGGCGAGUGGCGAACGGGUGAGUAAUGUAUCGGAACGUGCCCAGUAGCGGGGGAUAACUACGCGAAAGCGUAGCUAAUACCGCAUACGCCCUUAGGGGGAAAGCAGGGGAUCGUAAGACCUUGCACUAUUGGAGCGGCCGAUAUCGGAUUAGCUAGUUGGUGAGGUAAUGGCUCACCAAGGCCGCGAUCCGUAGCUGGUUUGAGAGGACGACCAGCCGCACUGGGACUGAGACACGGCCCAGACUCCUACGGGAGGCAGCAGUGGGGAAUUUUGGACAAUGGGGGAAACCCUGAUCCAGCCAUCCCGCGUGUGCGAUGAAGGCCUUCGGGUUGUAAAGCACUUUUGGCAGGAAAGAAACGGCGCGCGCUAAUACCAUGCGCAACUGACGGUACCUGCAGAAUAAGCACCGGCUAACUACGUGCCAGCCGCCGCCGUAAGAC
rnacentral:rRNA from 1 species